CUGGCGGCGUGCCUAAUACAUGCAAGUCGAGCGGAAUGAUGAAGAAGCUUGCUUCUUCUGAUUUUAGCGGCGGACGGGUGAGUAACACGUGGGCAACCUACCUUGUAGAUUGGGAUAACUCCGGGAAAACCGGGGCUAAUACCGAAUAAUCCAUUUUGCUUCAUGGCGAGAUGUUAAAAGGCGGCUUCGGCUGUCACUACGAGAUGGGCCCGCGGCGCAUUAGCUAGUUGGUAGGGUAAUGGCCUACCAAGGCGACGAUGCGUAGCCGACCUGAGAGGGUGAUCGGCCACACUGGGACUGAGACACGGCCCAGACUCCUACGGGAGGCAGCAGUAGGGAAUCUUCCACAAUGGACGAAAGUCUGAUGGAGCAACGCCGCGUGAGUGAAGAAGGUUUUCGGAUCGUAAAACUCUGUUGUAAGGGAAGAACACGUACGAGAGUAACUGCUCGUACCUUGACGGUACCUUAUUAGAAAGCCACGGCUAACUACGUG
rnacentral:rRNA from 1 species